rnacentral:rRNA from 1 species
UUACAUCAGCAGUCAUCUCUGUGGUAAAGUGUGGCUAGCACCACCUGCCAGGUGCUCAUUUGGACAUCCACCAAAACCUAGUGGCUAAUACACGCAUGACCUGGUCUGCCAUGUGGACAUCUGCUGGCAACUCUGCUGUCACAUGAUGUGUGGUGGAUUGCACCCAGCCGCUGUGAAGACCAGCGCCUGAAAAUGGCAGUGACCCAUGGUUGACUCAGGCUGGUCCCUCUGUGGACAAUGGCUCUGGCAGAGUGGGGCUUAUCAGCCCACAUCACUUGCUUGACCACACGAACUUCUGACCUAUCAGCUUUGACUGUGGUGUCGUGGACCACAGUGGCAGCUACGGGUAACGGAGAAUCAGGGUUCGAUUCCGGAGAGGGAGCCUGAGAAACGGCUACCACUACCAAGGUGGGCAGCAGGCGCGCAAAUUGCCCAAUGCUAACACAUUUUGGCGAGGCAGCAACGAACUGCAGCAAUUCUGCCUGUCCUCUGAGACCAGCAGAACUUGGAAUGGAUGCUAUCCAAACACAGUGAUGAGAAUCAACUGGAGGGCAAGUCUGGUGCCAGCAGCUGCGGUAAUUCCAGCUCCAAGUGCGUAUACUGACAUUGCUGCUGUUAAAACACUUGUAGUCUGCCGCUGAGUGCAAGUCUGACAGGUGGCCAGCUGUUGCUUGUGGUCCUAGGCUCUCAGCCAAGGGCUGCCUGUGACAGUUGGAUCUCAACCCCUGCCAGUAUGUCUUGCUCUCGACCAAGAUGGUGAGUUCACUCCUGCUCCAAGCCUCCUUCAGUGGAGGCCCAGGCGGCCUUGUGCCAAACGCAUAUGUGGGCUGUGUGAGGUGCACCUCCCUGUGAGUCAUGCCUCAGCCCGCCACAGGAGUUCACUGUCUCAGCUACCCUGGACAACUCAGUGUGCUCAAAGCAUCCUCCAUUGGCUGGAUGUCUCUCCAUGGAACAGCAAAGCAUCGACCAAUUGGGCCUCACAGUUGUGCUGGCCUUGGUGCUCAAUCUGGAGAAUGUGUCAUGGCUCCUGGCUGCUGGCUCCACAGUGCCCCUGUGGCUUCUGUGUCCACUGCCAGUGGGUUAUGGCUGUCGUCCAAGAUGGGAUUGCUCAGGGUGCAAGAUAUGGCAACGCCAGAGGUGAAAUUCUUAGACCGCUGCCAGAUCAACUGCAGCGAAGGCGUUGUGCAGCUGCCUGUCCGUCGAUCAAGAAUGAGAGCGUGGGGAGCAAAGAUGAUCAGACACCGUCGUAGUCCACAGCUGUAAACUAUGCCAGCUUGGUGCUGACUGGGCAAGUCCACGG